UACGUAGGGUGCGAGCGUUGUCCGGAAUUAUUGGGCGUAAAGAGCUUGUAGGCGGUUUGUCGCGUCUGCUGUGAAAUUUCGGGGCUCAACCCCGAACUUGCAGUGGGUACGGGCAGACUAGAGUGUGGUAGGGGAGACUGGAAUUCCUGGUGUAGCGGUGAAAUGCGUAGAUAUCUGGAGGAACACCGGUGGCGAAGGCGGCAUCCUGGACCAACACUGACGCUGAGUGAGCGAAAGCCAGGGGAGCAAACGGG
rnacentral:rRNA from 1 species